CAGAGCGUUCGCAGGUGGAGCACAUGGGAACGGGCCACGCGGCCGACCCGGCCUGCUCGCGCUCUUUAGGCUAAGUGCACCGAAUUCGGGAGAAGGAGCCAUUAAUGUCAUCCCGGAUUUACAGAGUGAAGGAGAGGGGUGCCCAUCCACUUCGAGGACGCGCCGACGCCGCCAGCUCCCUGGUGCCCCGCGGGCCUGGCCCCUCCGGGCCCGCCCGGGUGACCUUGGGCGAGUCGCCCUCACCUCUCCGGGCCGUACUGGGCUCCUCCCCGCGGCCCCGGACGGCCAGGACACUGCCCGGAGUUCGGUUCGACGCCCGGCCCCGAAGGCAGGCCCUUAACCCACGAGGACAAGAGUGUCGACGAAGUGGGAACGGAAUUACCAACCCCCAACCUGGCCAGGCCCCCGAAACCGAAUAUUCAUGGGCAGGAAAUGUUUUUUUUCUAAAGAAUUGCUUAGGGCGGAGUUGAACCAACGUGAUUGGGACUCAGAUACCUGAGAUUUUAUCCUGGCCCUGGCCCUGCCCCUUACCAACUCUGCAGCAGUCAUUUCCUCAGUGGACCUCAGUUUCUCUAUUGUAAAACGAACCAAUGGUAAAUGACAGUGAUUUCAAACUUCAAUGCACAUUCAAUAAAUAUUUACUAACCUCGUACUGUGAGAGCCUGAAGGGUUCUAGGAAAGAGUUUGGCAAUCAGGCGAACAAGGUCUCUAUCCUGGAAUUUACACUCCGAGGUGGAGAAAGACAAUAAACAGUGAUAAAUGCUUGUUUCCUUUCUAUGAAGACAAUAACUACUACAGUGGUUGGUUAAACUAGAUCAGCUACUUCAGUAUGGAUGAUGAGGGAAAACCUUGAAUGCAGAUUCCAAAUGUUUUCGAAUGGAAUAUGUCUGGGAUCGGACCUUGAAACCCGCAAGUCUAACAAACUUCCUUGGAUGCUUACCCAUUUGGUGGUCCCACACUUCACUUGGAGAAUUCCUGGUUCUGACUGGCUGUGAUCCCACCACCUCAAGACAUAACAGCCUGGAAUGUUGGCCAUCUCCAAGGCAAGGAUUAGAAUACAUGACCUGCUGGAUAUGGGAAAAGGCUUAUUGAAAAGCCUCUUGGAAUUGCCCCAGUGCUGACAACUUCCUGAAGACAGAAGAGGCCACAUGAGGGACAGAUAGCCUAGAGACCUGAUUGAUAAGCUGCAGACCAUCUCUGGCUUUGCUGAAUGACUUUGGGCAGCCUCUUUGCCUUCCCGGGCUUCCAUUUCUCUCUCCACAAAAUGGGAAGCAUAAUACCUGCCUCUCUGGCUUAUCAAGUUGAAGAAAGGAGGGAGCAGGUAAAAGCAUAACCGUAUUGGAAGUAUUUCAAAUGAUUGUCCACAGAGGUUGAUUAUCUAGACAUCGUGUGAUCCAACCACGCUAUGGAAAACUAAAGCAUGGACUCCCUUGGAAAUGUUUCCAAAAUUCACUGCUGAUGUUCCUGUCUUCUCAUCCGAGUCCAGGCCCGCAGCUGGCUGUAGUAAUCUGAAGGGAACUAACUGGGGAGCUACCUUCUUCCAAGGUCAUGUGGCUGCUAGCAAGAUUUACUCUCAAGGAUUGUUGGACUGAUAUCUUCCCAGCUGUUGGCCAGAGGCCACCCUCAGUUCCUCAGUUCCACGCAUCAAUGUCUCCUGCGUGGGAGUUUGCUUCAUCAAAGUGUGCAAGCCGGGCGUGAAAGCAAGAGCAGGGUGGAAGUCACGGUCUUUUGUAGCCUGAUCGUGGAAGUGAUUAUUGCCGUAUUCUAUUUGUUAGAAGUGACUCACUGGGCCCAGCCCAUCCUGCACAAAAGGAGAGUACACAGGGGCUUGAAUACCAGGAAGAGGGGAUCACAGGGGGCCAUUCUAGAACCUUUCUGCCUGCCACACCAGUCGCCAACUUUUAAUUUUGCCAGAGAAGAACACUUAGAAAAUCAACUCCCACCUCUGGUUACCAUAACUUCAUAAAUGAAAUAGACUUUUUUUACAAUUUGUCUAGAUACAAAGAGAUAAUUUCAUAAUAAGGGGUAGUCCCUUGUGGGUGAAUAAAUGUAGCCUCGUGCAAAAUGCC